rnacentral:rRNA from 1 species
UACGUAGGGUGCGAGCGUUGUCCGGAAUUAUUGGGCGUAAAAGAGCUUGUAGGCGGUUUGUCGCGUCUGCCGUGAAAAUCCGGGGCUCAACCCCGGACUUGCGGUGGGUACGGGCAGACUAGAGUGUGGUAGGGGAGACUGGAAUUCCUGGUGUAGCGGUGAAAUGCGCAGAUAUCAGGAGGAACACCGGUGGCGAAGGCGGGUCUCUGGGCCGAUACUGACGUGAGGAGCGAAAGCGUGGGGAGCGAACAGG